GAUGAAGAACGCAGCGAAAUGCGAUAUUUGGUGUGAAUUGCAGAAUCCCGUGAACCAUCGAGUCUUUGAACGCAAGUUGCGCCUCAAGCCAUUAGGUUGAGGGCACGUCUGCCUGGGCGUCACAUAUCGUUGCCUGAUGCCAGUUUCCUCGUGAUGGGUGACUGUGCAGGGCGAAUGAUGGCUUCCCGUGAGCAUUGUUGCCUCAUGGUUGGUUGAAAAUUGAGUCCUUGGUAGGGAGUGCCGUGAUAGAUGGUGGUUGAGUGACGAACGAGACCCAAUCAUGUGAGACCCCUACCGAAUUUGGCCUUCAUGACCCACAUGCGUCUUUGGAACGCUCAUGACGAGACCUCAGGUCAGGCGGGGCUACCCGCUGAGUUUAAGCAUAUCAAUAAGCGGAGGA
rnacentral:misc_RNA from 1 species